rnacentral:rRNA from 1 species
GACGAACGCUGGCGGCGUGCUUAACACAUGCAAGUCGAACGAAGUGGCGAACGGGUGAGUAACGCGUAAUCAACCUGCCCUUCAGAGGGGGAUAACAGUUGGAAACGAAUGCUAAUACCGCAUACUGAAGGAGGGGUUUGCGUCUGAUUUGCUAGUUGGAGGGGUAACGGCCCACCACGGCGAUGGUCAGUAGCCGGUCUUGGGGGAUGAACGGCCCCAUUGGGACUGGGGCACCGGCCAGACUCCUUCGGGAGGCAGCAGUGGGGAAUCUUCCGCAAUGGACGAAAGGCUGACGGAGCAACGCCGCGUGGGUGAUGACGGCCUUCGGGUUGUAAAGCUCUGUUAAUCGGGACGCGGUACCGGAAUAGAAAGCCACGGCUAACUACGUGCCAGCAGCCGCGGUAAUUC